AGCUGUCACAGAACUGGUUCAAACUGGCAUUUACAUCAGCUAGAACUAUCAAAAUAGAUGCAUCAUUUUCUCCACUGGCUACUCCCAAACAAUUUGAACAAUUCAUUCAGGCAGCAAGUGUUUCCACCAAUAAAAUAAAAAGAAUUGAUUUCAUCCAGAAGAACUGUUUGAACUGUGGACUGUUUGAAAUAUUUUGCACCUGCUCAGAAAUCCCC